rnacentral:rRNA from 1 species
GAUGAACGCUGGCGGCGUGCCUAAUACAUGCAAGUCGAGCGAACAGAUGAGGAGCUUGCUCCUCUGACGUUAGCGGCGGACGGGUGAGUAACACGUGGAUAACCUACCUAUAAGACUGGGAUAACUUCGGGAAACCGGAGCUAAUACCGGAUAAUAUAUUGAACCGCAUGGUUCAAUAGUGAAAGACGGUUUUGCUGUCACUUAUAGAUGGAUCCGCGCCGCAUUAGCUAGUUGGUAAGGUAACGGCUUACCAAGGCAACGAUGCGUAGCCGACCUGAGAGGGUGAUCGGCCACACUGGAACUGAGACACGGUCCAGACUCCUACGGGAGGCAGCAGUAGGGAAUCUUCCGCAAUGGGCGAAAGCCUGACGGAGCAACGCCGCGUGAGUGAUGAAGGUCUUCGGAUCGUAAAACUCUCUUAUUAGGGAAGAACAAAUGUGUAAGUAACUAUGCACGUCUUGACGGUACCUAAUCAGAAAGCCACGGCUAACUACGUG